GCCCACCUCUCCUCUUCCUCCGGUAGGCCCUCGUCCUCCUCGGCCUAGCCAGCUAGCCAGCCCAGCUCGCUUGCACUUGCACUCGCACCGAAAUCUGACUUCCCUCCUCCUCUCUCCCGGUCCGAGCUGGCCCACCGCCACCGUGGCCGAGUGGGACUCCUGCCGCUACCGCCGCAAUUGCCACCACCUCCUUCGCCCGUGGCCGAUCCGGUCUCCAACCGCCGUCCGUGCCCUAGCCGCUACCCUCUAUCCCUCGAGCGCUGCAGCAUCAAUUUGAUAUAAAAUGGU
rnacentral:lncRNA from 1 species